CAUAUUUAAAAAUAUUGUU
rnacentral:miRNA from 1 species